GACGUAGGGGGCCAGCGUUGCUCGGAAUUACUGGGCGUAAAGGGUUCGUAGGCGGUGCGGCAAGUCGGUAGUGAAAUCUCCAGGCUUAACUUGGAGGCUGCUGCCGAAACUGCUGUGCUAGAGUGCAGGAGAGGCGAGUGGAAUUACAGGUGUAGCGGUGAAAUGCGUAGAUAUCUGGAGGAAUACCGGUGGCGAAGGCGGCAUCCUGGACCGACAUUGACGCUGAUGAGCGAAAGCUAGGGGAGCAAACGGG
rnacentral:rRNA from 1 species